rnacentral:rRNA from 1 species
UAGGGAAUCUUCCACAAUGGGCGCAAGCCUGAUGGAGCAACGCCGCGUGAGUGAAGAAGGUCUUCGGAUCGUAAAACUCUGUUGUUAGAGAAGAACAUGCAGGAGAGUAACUGUUCUUGUAUUGACGGUAUCUAACCAGAAAGCCACGGCUAACUACGUGCCUAG